rnacentral:misc_RNA from 1 species
GAUGAAGAACGUAGCGAAAUGCGAUACUUGGUGUGAAUUACAGAAUCCCGUGAACCAUCGAGUCUUUGAACGCAAGUUGCGCCCGAAGCCAUUAGGCCGAGGGCACGCCUGCCUGGGCGUCACACGUCGUUGCCCCCCCAUCUACUCCUUCGGGAUUGCGGGGGGCGGAUGAUGGCCUCCCGUGCGCCUCGCCGCGCGGUUGGCAUAAAUGCCAAGUCCUCGGCGACGCACGCCACGACAAUCGGUGGUUGCGAAACCUCGGUUGCCCGUCGUGUGCGGUCGUCGCGCAUCGAGGGCUCGAAAAAAUUGCCGGGUUCCGGCUCGGCUUUCAACGCGACCCCAGGUCAGGCGGGGUUACCCGCUGAAUUUAAGCAUAUCAAUAAGCGGAGGA